GCAGAGGCGUCGCCUCUCCUCGGCGUCCCUCCUUCAGCGGAGAGGCUCCUUCCCGAGGCAACAAGGGCGACCGCGAGGACAGGUAAAGCGAAGGGAGCCACAGAGUACGCGUGGGCCUGAAACCCUUGCCGUCUUCUCAAUGCUGCUUCUAGGUGUCGCUUCCCCUCAAAAGUGAUAGUUUUCACCUAGAUAGACUCUGCCCUGAGAAGUGAGCAGCGCGCCUGCGCGAAAAAGCCAACAUGGCUGCCUUCGACGCUUGCGCAUGAGGGCCUAGGCGGUGGCAGUCAGCGCCUGCGCACCAAGGCAAGGCAGCGGCUUGCGCCUGCGCGACGCGGCGCUGCGGAAACCGUUGGCUUAUUUGCAUCUCCCCGCCUCGCCUGGCGGUGGAUAAGGAGUCUGAGGAGGCGGCGGCGGCGGGGGUGGCACCGCGCGCAGCAGGCUCUGGGAGAGAGAAACAUGGCAGCAAGGCGGAUGGCCCAGGAAUCUUUGGACAGCGUAUUACAGGAGAAAUCUAAACGGUAUGGGGACUCUGAGGCCGUUGGUGAAGCUCUCCAUCUUAAAGCUCAAGAUCUCUUAAGGACAGGCUCAAGAGCCAGAGCAGAUGUCUAUGAGGACAUUCAUGGUGAUAGCAGGUACUCCGCCAGCGGAUCUGGAGUAUACUCACUAGACUUGGGAAGAGAAGGUCUGAGAGGUGACAUGUUUGUGGGACCCUCCUUCAGAUCUAGCAAUCAGUCUGUUGGUGAGGACAGCUAUCUUCGCAAAGAAUGUGGCCGGGAUCUGGAACCAGCCCAUACUGACUCCCGGGACCAGAGUUUUAGCCAGCGGAACCUGGGACCUUUUCCUUCUCAGGACUGGAAGCUUGCGCUCCGUGGCUCUUGGGAACAAGACUUGGGUCACUCAGUUUCUCAAGAGUCUUCCUGGUCACAGGAAUAUGGUUUUGGGCCCUCAUUGUUAGGAGACUUGGCCUCCUCCAGGCGGAUGGAGAAGGAAAGUCGGGAUUAUGAUCUGGACCAUCCUGGGGAGGUGGACUCUGUGUCUAGAAGCAGUGGGCAAGUCCUGGCCAGAGGCCGGUCUCUAAACAUGGCUGACCAGGAAGGCACCCUACUAGGAAAGGGGGACACUCAGGGUCUGCUUGGAGCAAAGGGUGUUGGGAAGCUCAUCACACUGAAAGGCAUGGCCACGAAGAAAAUACCUGUUGUCAGUCGUGUUACUUCCAAACCUCAGGGCACUAACCAAAUCCAGAAAGCCACCCCAAGUCCUGAUGUGACCCUGGGGACAAAUCCAGUGCUGGAUGAAAUCCAGUUCGCUGCUCUGAAGAUUCCCUUGGGGCUGGACCUUAGGACCCUCGGCUUCCCCAGAAGAAAGAUGGGUUUUGAUGCCAUAGACAAGGCAGAUGUGUUCUCAAGGUUUGGCAUAGAGAUCAUCAAGUGGGCAGGAUUCCACACUAUCAAGGAUGACCUCAAGUUCUCCCAGCUCUUCCAGACUCUGUUUGAACUGGAAACGGAGACCUGUGCCAAGAUGCUGGCCUCCUUCAAAUGUUCCUUGAAGCCAGAGCACAGAGAUUUCUGCUUUUUUACCAUCAAGUUUCUAAAGCACUCUGCUCUGAAAACUCCCCGAGUUGAUAAUGAGUUUUUAAACAUGCUUUUAGACAAAGGUGCUGUGAAGACCAAAAACUGCUUUUUUGAGAUUAUAAAGCCCUUUGACAAGUAUAUCAUGCGUCUCCAGGACCGACUGCUGAAGGGCGUUACACCUUUACUCAUGGCCUGUAAUGCCUAUGAGCUGAGCGUCAAGAUGAAGACCCUCACUAGCCCACUGGACCUGGCUGUGGCCCUGGAGACCACCAACUCUCUUUGCAGGAAGUCCCUGGCACUCUUAGGCCAGACCUUCUCCUUGGCUUCUUCCUUCCGGCAGGAGAAGAUCCUAGAGGCUGUGGGCCUCCAAGACAUCGCCCCAUCUCCAGCUUACUUCCCAAAUUUUGAGGACUCCACUUUGUUUGGAAGGGAGUACAUAGACCACCUGAAGGCCUGGCUUAUGGCCAGUGGCUAUCCCCUCCAGGUCAAGAGGGCUGUGCCCCCAGAGCCCCGAGACCAGAAAACCACAGCUCAGACCUGGGCUGCAAGCACUCUGAGCCAAGCAGUUCCCCAGCGGGCAGAUCACAGGGUGGUGGACACCAUUGACCAGCUUGUCAUGCGUGUCAUCCAAGGAAGGCUAUCUCCCAGAGAGAGAACACUUCUCCUGCAGGACCCUGCUUACUGGUUUCUGUCUGAUGAGAGCAGCCUAGAGUAUAAGUACUACAAGCUGAAGCUGGCAGAGUCACAGCGACUGAACCACAGCUGGCCCAUCGUGGAGCGGAGGCCAACGCCAGCACAGUGUGCGGUGCGUGCCAUGCUGUAUGCACAAGCUGUGCGAAGCCUCAAGCGCAGACUCCUCCCAUGGCAGCGCAGGCGGCUGCUUCGCUCCCAGGGUCCUCGAGGCCUGAAGGCCAAGAAGGCCACCACUGCCCAGCAGACAUCCCUGUCCUCAGGCACUCGUCAGAAACACCAUGGUCGCCAGGCUUCUGGCUCCUUGAGGGUGAAGCCACCACCACGGGAUUCAAGUGAUGCUGCCCAGGACUGCCUACCAGAGCCUGCCAAACCCCGUCCUCAGCCCUCCAGCCCUGGAGCCUUGGGCCCGUCUCCUCGGCCAACAGCAGGGGAUAACUCGGAGGCCCUCCCGGCUUCUUCUCGAUGCCCCUCUGCUAAUAUGGAUGCAAAGACCAUGGAGACUGCUGAGAAGCUGGCCAGAUUUGUGGCUCAGGUCGGCCCUGAAAUUGAGCAGUUCAGCAUAGAGAACAGCACUGACAACCCUGACCUGUGGUUCCUGCAUGACCAGAGCAGUACAGCUUUCAAGUUCUACCGAGAGAAAGUGCUGGAACUGUGCCCAUCUAUCUCCUUCCAGUCCACUGGUGAGACGGGGUACUCAGUACAGAGCCCCACAGCCGGCAAAGAGGGUAAGGGUGAGCCACAGGAGGGACACCCUGAGCAGGAGGCUGCACUGGAAGACCCCGAGGUACUGCCUGAGGAGGAGGAGGAAGAUGAGGAGGAGAGUGAGGAGGACGAGGGUGGAGAGGAGACCUGCACUCUCAGGCCACAGGCAGGAGAUGCCAAGUGUCCAGGCUCUGAGGGCAGUUCCCCUACUGGCAGCAUCCCCGGAGAGGGCUCAAAGGAGGACCAGGCCAGCACCCCUGGCCUGUCACAGUCCUCUGGCAGCUGCUUCCCCAGGAAGAGAAUCAGCAGCAAGUCACUGAAAGUUGGCAUGAUCCCUGCCCCAAAGAGGAUAUGUCUCAUCCAGGAGUCAAAGGUCCAUGAACCAGUUCGAAUUGCCUACGACAGGCCGAGGGGUCGUCCCAUAGCCAAAAAGAAGAAACCCAAGGAGCUGGAGUUUUCCCAGCAGAAACUGACAGACAAGAACGUGGGCUUCCAGAUGCUGCAGAAGAUGGGCUGGAAGGAAGGCCACGGCCUGGGCUCCCUCGGAAAAGGCAUCCGAGAGCCUGUCAGCGUGGGGACUCUCUCAGAGGGAGAGGGCCUGGGAGCUGAUGGGCCUGAGCAGAAAGAAGACACCUUUGACGUCUUCCGCCAGCGCAUGAUGCAAAUGUACAGACACAAGCGGGCCAGCAAAUAGAUCAGAGCCACUGGCGACAGAGAUAAGCCUCGAAGCAGCCUUGCCCUUCCCGUCACCCUGCCCCGGACGCCUGCAGCCUGAGCCUCGUUCCAGGGUCACAUCCACAAGGACCAUGGAUUCCAAAAGUUGUGCUGGCCUGGCCUUCCCUGGCUCCGGUGUGUUCCUCUUCCUGGAUGUGCGUCGUGCAAGUUGAUUCUGUACCUGGUAAAACCUAGAACACACUUGUGAUGUCACCACUUGGAUGUAGUUGUGUUUGUAAGGAUCUAAGAAGUCAUGGUGUUGUCGGUGUUGAGUGCUUGGAAUAAAUGAAGAGCAGACCCGC